GCCAGUUGGUGCAUGGCCGUUCUUAGUUCGUGGAAUGAUUUGUCUGGUUAAUUCCGAUAACGAACGUGACUCAAUCAUAUUAACUAGAUACCUAUCAGCUGUUGAAAUGCUGAAGCUGUCAGUGCGGGUGUGUUCUGCAUGCUUUGUGCUUGAUAGUGGAGUUUCACCUGAUAGUUUGGUCCUAACUCUUUCAGGGUUAGUGGCUCUAUCUGCUUAAUAGGACAAUUUGUGUUUAGCAAAAUGAGAUUGAGCAAUAACAGGUCUGUGAUGCCCUUAGAUGGUCAU
rnacentral:rRNA from 1 species